ACAAGCGGUGGAGCAUGUGGUUUAAUUCGAUGGUACGCGAGAAACCUUACCAGGGCUUGACAUACGCUGGAAGCGGUCCGAAAGGAUCGUGCCGCUUGCGGCCGGCGUACAGGUGCUGCAUGGCUGUCGUCAGCUCGUGCUGUGAAGUGUUGGGUUAAGUCCCGCAACGAGCCGCAACCCCUGCUGUCUGUUGCCACCACGAGAGGUGGGGACUCAGGCGGAACUGCCGGUGACAAACCGGAGGAAGGUGGGGACGACGUCAAGUCAUCAUGGCCCUUAUGUCCUGGGCUACACACGUGCUACAAUGGCCGGUACAGAGCGCAGCGAGGCCGCGAGGCGGAGCGAAUCGCUUAAAGCCGGUCCCAGUACGGAUUGGAGUCUGCAACCCGACUCCAUGAAGUUGGAAUCGCUAGUAAUCGCGCAUCAGCAUGGCGCGGUGAAUACGUUCCCGGGCCUU
rnacentral:rRNA from 1 species